AAGCCAUUUCGACGACGCUCCUUUUGCUAGUCUCGACGAGAUUUAUUUUUCACCGCGGGUUUUUCUUUCUUUCUCUCUUUCGAUAUCAACGUUAUUUACGACCAGCGCCCGAGACGCGCCGCGAGCGACUGACGAAUUUUACGUUUCCACCGCCGCCGGUGUUCCACUCCACUUCUAUCCGCUGUACAUACAUGUAUGUAUACAUGUGUAUAUACCCGACCAGAUCGUUUCGGGAGAAGGGAACGAUCGGAAACGGACCGUUCUGCCUCACGAGAUCCUCAACUUGCGCGCAUACUUUACGAUCCUCCGAAGAAUUAUUAUUUAUUUUGGAUUUUCGCCUUCCGGACGUCGUUCGAAAAAUUGAAACGGAUCCGAGGGGAGGUCCUCCGCCGCGCGGCCGGACCUCGGGUAAAUCUUCCUUUCCUUUUUUAUUGUUAUUUAUUUAUUUAUUUUUUUUUUUUUAUGGCCUAUUUCUCCUCCUUCGUUCUAUUUUCUCUCAAGUUUCCCUAGGGGCCUACCGAACGACCUACUCUGCCAAUUUUUUUAUCGAUGAAAUAAUUAAGGCUACGCGAGAAUGAAAAUCUUGACCUCGCUCAAACUGGUUUGCGAUUAUCGAAAUUUUUACGUCAUUCUCGCACCGCAGGUUCGGUUAACUUGUUCUAAGGUGUGUCGAUACUCCCUCGUCGCUACGAAUCCUGAAUAUCCAGCCCAGAAGAAUGAUUAUCGCAGAAA